rnacentral:lncRNA from 1 species
GAACCUGCCCAAAGGCCAGAUGUCAUCAGCAGCUGAACAGCAUUCCAGAAACCAGCUGCAAAGACAGAAGCAGAACAACUGGUUUGGUGGAGAGAUCUGAUAACAAAAAGUUGGGAAACAGGUAAAAUAAUAACUUGGGGUAGAAGUUAUGCUUGUGUUUCUCCAGGCCAAAAUCAACAGCUGAUCUGGAUACCAUCAAGACACCUGAAAUCUUAUCAUGAGCCAGAUGCUGAGGAAGAGACUCCGGGAGGAUCCCGAGGACGGCCCAGUUGCAGCCAUGUUGAGACUGACGCUGAGGAGGACCCCAACUGUCACGAGCAACACCUGUCGAACACAGCCACCCACCUGGGGACAGAUCAAGAAGCUGUCACAGAUGGCAGAAGAAAACCUGAGGAAAGCGGGACAACCAGUCACAAUGAGUAAUUUCAUGGUAGCUAUGAUAGCAGUUAUCACCACUGCUUCUGCAGAUGUGGAUCCUAACUCCUGCGAGAAGUAACUCACAGUGACAAAGCUGCCUUUGCUUUUAUCGAGUUGCAAAUCAAAGAAGGGGGGACAUGUUGGGAACAGGCCCCCCAAGAUCUGGCCAUAAACUGGCCCCAAAACUGGCUAUAAACAAAAUCUGCAGCACUGUGACACGUUCAUGAUGGCCGUGACGCCCACGCUGGAAGGUUGUGGGUUUACCGGAAUGAGGGCAAGGGACACCUGGCCCACCCAGGGCGGAAAACCGCUUAAAGGCGUUCUUAAACCACAAACAAUAGCCUGAGUGAUCUGUGCCUUAAAGACACACUCCUGCUGCAGAUAACUAACCAGACCCACCACUUUACUUCGGCCCAUCCCUUCAUUUCCCAUAAGGGAUACUUUUAGUUAAUCUAUUAUCUAUAGAAACAAUGCUAAUGACUGACUUACUAUUAAUAAAUAUGUGGGUAAACCUCUGUUGGGGCUCUCAGCUCUGAAGGCUGUCAGACCCCUGAUUUCCCACUUCGCACCUCUGAA